GCGAGGCUAGACACCACAUGGCAGGAAGUGUAAUGUAUGGUCACCUACUGAUGUAGAUGAAAGAUCUCAGCCUCCGGAAUAGAUUCAGCAUGCCCAAUCCCAGAACGAAGUUGAGACAUCUGAGUUGUGUCCACUCCUUUGUCAUAAUGCCAGCUAGUGUAAAGCUGAAAUUGAUCAAUGUACUCUAAGCUGACUUAAGACUGUGCUCUAGCCCUGGUGUAUUCCUAAGGGAAUGGAGAGCCAACAGGUGAAUCACAAGAAGCAACUACCUAAAAAAAGUUGAGAAUCUGAGGGUGUCCUACCAAACCUAUCCUGUCCUGUUUGAAGAAUUCCAGGCCAUGAAAAG